rnacentral:rRNA from 1 species
UGGGGAAUCUUGGGCAAUGGGCGCAAGCCUGACCCAGCCAUGCCGCGUGUGUGAAGAAGGCCUUCGGGUUGUAAACCUCUUUUCUCAGGGAAGAAGCUCUGACGGUACCUGAGGAAUCAGCAUCGGCUAACUCCGUGCCAGCAGCCGCGGUAAUACGGAGGAUGCAAGCGUUAUCCGGAAUUAUUGGGCGUAAAGGGUCCGCAGGCGGCGAGACAAGUCUGCCGUUAAAGACCAGAGCUUAACUCUGGGCAGGCGGUGGAAACUGUCACGCUAGAGUACGGUAGGGGUAGAGGGAAUUCCCAGUGUAGCGGUGAAAUGCGUAGAGAUUGGGAAGAACACCGGUGGCGAAGGCGCUCUACUGGGCCGUAACUGACGCUCAGGGACGAAAGCUAGGGGAGCGAGAGGGAUUAGAUACCCCCGUAGUCC